rnacentral:rRNA from 1 species
AGAGCGAACGCUGGCGGCAGGCCUAACACAUGCAAGUCGAACGAGAAAGUGGAGCAAUCCAUGAGUAAAGUGGCGACCGGGUGAGUAACACGUGACUACCUACCCUUGAGUGGGGGAUAACCUCGGGAAACCGAGGCUAAUACCGCAUAAUAUCGAAAGAUCAAAGGAGUAAUCCGCUUUUGGAGGGGUCGCGGCUGAUUAGCUAGUUGGUAGGGUAAUGGCCUACCAAGGCGAAGAUCGGUAUCCGGCCUGAGAGGGGCGCGACGGACGACGACUGGAACUGAACACGGUCCAGACUCCUACGGGAGGCAGCAGUGGGGAAUUUGCGCAAUGGGGAAACCCUGACGCAGCAACGCCGCGUGGAGGAUGAAGCCCCUUGGGGUGUAAACUCCUUUCGACCGGGAAAAUAAUGAUGGUACCGGUGGAAGAAGCACCGGCUAACUCUGUGCCAGCAGCCGC